rnacentral:rRNA from 1 species
AUGGACCAUUCCAUCCCUUUUUCCCGUGCAUAUGCAUCGGACUCGGAUGACGAUGGUCCCGAUGAACAAGUUGAUGCGGAGGGGUUCACGGUGAAGGAGGCCGAAGCUUUCGAGAAGGUAUUUGGUCGGGAUCAUCGGACUACAUUGUUCAAGGAUGUUAGUCUCGCGGAUAAAGAUGUGGUAGAUGGUGGCCAAUGUGUACCUCUUGGGGUUAGGCCAAGCUCUCACCGUGAUUUGGUAGACGACAAGAACCGGAUUGCUAAAGGUUCUAAGUUCGACACCUUGUUGGAAUUGAAGAUGUGGCUCGACAACUACUCGGUUACACAUUAUCGUCCACACAAGGUGGUGAAUUCGGACGUCAAUGUGCGCUACACGGUUGCAUGUGCAUGUGAAGAUGAAAUAUGUCCGUGGAUUGUGCGUGCAAGACCAUGGAAAGGAGGUCCAACUUGGCAUGUAGUGAGUUGUGUGCCAACUCACUUGUGCCAAGGCAAAAGGGUGGAUGGCAAGAUUGUGUCCCAAGACCACAAACAACUCACGUCCGAGUUCAUCGCUUACAGGCUCUCCAACUCAAUAUCCACACUUCCAACAAUGAGCGUCCAACAUGUCAUUGAUCUUGUGAAAGCCAUCUUUCAUUACAAGGUGAAAUACGGCAAGGCAUGGAAGGCGAAGCAAGCCGCAUUUAAGAUGUUGUAUGGUACAUGGGAGGAAGCAUACAACCGAAUUCCCGAAGCAAGCCGCAUUUAA